rnacentral:misc_RNA from 1 species
UUUCCGUAGGUGAACCUGCGGAAGGAUCAUUAUUGUAUAACCGAGGUGCGAGGGCUGUCGCUGACCCGAAAGGUCGUGCACGCCCGAGUGCCCUCACACACAUUCAUCUCACCCCUAUGUGCACCACCGCGUGGGACCCCCUUUGGCUUGUUCGGAGGGGGGCUUACGUUUUCACACAAACUUUGUAUGCAGUGUAGAAUGUAUUUUUUGUUUUUGCGAUCACGCAAUCAAUACAACUUUCAACAACGGAUCUCUUGGCUCUC